GACGAACGCUGGCGGCGUGCCUAAUACAUGCGAGUAGAACGCUGAAGGAGGAGCUUGCUUCUCUGGAUGAGUUGCGAACGGGUGAGUAACGCGUAGGUAACCUGCCUGGUAGUGGGGGAUAACUAUUGGAAACGAUAGCUAAUACCGCAUAAUAGCAGUUGUUGCAUGAUAACUGUUUGAAAGGUGCAAUUGCACCGCUACCAGAUGGACCUGCGUUGUAUUAGCUAGUUGGUGGGGUAACGGCUCACCAAGGCGACGAUACAUAGCCGACCUGAGAGGGUGAUCGGCCACACUGGGACUGAGACACGGCCCAGACUCCUACGGGAGGCAGCAGUAGGGAAUCUUCGGCAAUGGACGGAAGUCUGACCGAGCAACGCCGCGCGAGUGAAGAAGGUUUUCGGAUCGUAAAGCUCUGUUGUAAGAGAAGAACGAGUGUGAGAGUGGAAAGUUCACACUGUGACGGUAUCUUACCAGAAAGGGACGGCUAACUACGUG
rnacentral:rRNA from 1 species